rnacentral:rRNA from 1 species
AGGACGAACGCUGGCGGCGUGCUUAACACAUGCAAGUCGAGCGGAAAGGCCCUUCGGGGUACUCGAGCGGCGAACGGGUGAGUAACACGUGAGCAAUCUGCCCUUAGCUUCGGGAUAGCCCCGGGAAACCGGGAUUAAUACCGAAUACGACCUCGGCCGACAUCGGCCUUGGUGGAAAGUUUUUCGGCUAGGGAUGAACUCGCGGCCUAUCAGCUUGUUGGUGGGGUAAUAGCCUACCAAGGCGACGACGGGUAGCCGGCCUGAGAGGGCGACCGGCCACACUGGGACUGAGACACGGCCCAGACUCCUACGGGAGGCAGCAGUGGGGAAUAUUGCGCAAUGGGCGAAAGCCUGACGCAGCGACGCCGCGUGGGGGAUGAAGGCCUUCGGGUUGUAAACCCCUUUCAGCAGGGACGAAGCGAGAGUGACGGUACCUGCAGAAGAAGCGCCGGCUAACUACGCGCCAGCAGCCGC